rnacentral:sRNA from 1 species
UGCUCAGACUACUAAUACUGCUGGGUAUAAUGCGAUGGAAGAAAGUGUGAGCAGGGAAAAGCCAGAAUUGACAGCUUCAACAGAAAGGGUCAACAAAAGAAUGUCCAUGGUGGUGUCUGGCCUGACCCCAGAAGAAUUUAUGCUCGUGUACAAGUUUGCCAGAAAACACCACAUCACUUUAACUAAUCUAAUUACUGAAGAGACUACUCAUGUUGUUAUGAAAACAGGUAUACCAAGAACCUUUACAGAAUACUUUGCAUCUGCUGCAUAAAACCAUAUGAGGCGAGGCACGGUGGCGCAUGCCUGUAAUCGCAGCACUUUGGGAGGCCAAGGUGGGCAGAUCAUGAGAUUAGGAGAUCGAGACCAUCCUGGCCAGCAUGGUGAAACCCCAUCUCUACUAAAAAAUAAAAAAAUUAGCUGGGUGUGGUCGCGUGUGCCUGUAGUCCCAGCUACUCAUGAGGCUGAGGCAGGAGAAUCACUUGAACCGGGGAGAUGGAAGUUGCAGUGAGCCGAGAUCAUGCCAUUGCACUCCAGCCUGGCGACAGAGCAAGACUCCAUCUC